CAUUAGAAAAAUUUAAUCAAAAACAAAAUUUUUUAAUGACAUUAUUAAGAUUACCAAAAUUAUUUAACGACAAUAUUCAUCUCUUAAUUAUAGGGCUUAUUGGAUUUAAAGACGGGUCAUCAAAGAUUUUCUAAACUGAAGCAAAAUAUACUAAAUAUUCAAAUAUCUAUCUAUUACCAAAUUAUAAACAAUUAAGUUCGUAAAACAAUUUAAUAUUUUAUAUACGAAAUAAAUUAAAUCUUAAUCACAUAAAAAUUAGCACAAAAAAAUAUGGUACAUUCGGGUCUAUAGUAUUUUUGCAAGACUUUUUUGGUGGAUUUGGGUAAAAAUGCAUUCGGGUCAUAUGGUACAUUCCCCUAUUAAAUAAAUAUGGUGUACUUCUAUGUUAUUAGCUAAAAUGUUUAGAUUAUAAUUCAAAGUCAUAUCAUAAAUAAAAUUACUAUUAAUAAAAUAAAUGGCUUUUUAACAAGACGGAUUUGGAGGGACGGGUUUUUGAAUCAACAUUAAUAAAAAGUAAAAUAUAAUUAAUCCACAGUUUCAAUACGGGUUAAAUCUUUAAUUUAUUAUUUUUAAGACCACUACUAUUAAACAUAUCAAAUCAUCCUAAUUUAGAAAAGAUUAUAUAAAACCAAAAAUGUUAUGUGGUAUGUAUAAUGUUACUAUAUAUAAAAUUAAACUAUAAAAUAUAAAUGUAUUAGAGAAUGAUACAAUUUGCAAAACUUUUAUAUA
rnacentral:sRNA from 1 species